rnacentral:tRNA from 1 species
CGCGGGGUGGAGCAGUCUGGUAGCUCGUCGGGCUCAUAACCCGGAGGUCACUGGUUCGAAUCCGGUCCCCGCUACAA